rnacentral:rRNA from 1 species
GACGAACGCUGGCGGCGUGCUUAACACAUGCAAGUCGAGCGGUAAGGCCCUUUCGGGGGUACACGAGCGGCGAACGGGUGAGUAACACGUGGGUGACCUGCCCUCAGCUCUGGGAUAAGCCUGGGAAACUGGGUCUAAUACCGGAUAUGACUCCAUGACGCAUGUUGUGGGGUGAAAGCCUUGUGCGGCUGGGGGAUGGGCCCGCGGCCUAUCAGCUUGUUGGUGGGGUGAUGGCCUACCAAGGCGACGACGGGUAGCCGGCCUGAGAGGGCGACCGGCCACACUGGGACUGAGACACGGCCCAGACUCCUACGGGAGGCAGCAGUGGGGAAU